rnacentral:rRNA from 1 species
UACGUAGGGAGCAAGCGGUGUCCGGAAUCAUUGGGCGUAAAGCGCGCGUAGGUGGCUUCGUAAGUCCGUUGUGAAAGUCAAAGGCUCAACCUUUGAAAGCCGAUGGAUACUGCGGAGCUAGAGUACGGAAGAGGCGAGUGGAAUUCCUGGUGUAGCGGUGGAAUGCGCAGAUAUCAGGAGGAACACCAAUAGCGAAGGCAGCUCGCUGGGACGUUACUGACACUGAGGCGCGAAAGCGUGGGGAGCGAACAGG